GUGUCAGCAGCCGCGGUAAUACGGAGGGUGCAAGCGUUAUCCGGAUUCACUGGGUUUAAAGGGUGCGUAGGUGGGUUUGUAAGUCAGUGGUGAAAUCUCCGAGCUUAACUCGGAAACUGCCAUUGAUACUAUAGAUCUUGAAUUAUCUGGAGGUAAGCGGAAUAUGUCAUGUAGCGGUGAAAUGCUUAGAUAUGACAUAGAACACCAAUUGCGAAGGCAGCUUACUACGGAUAUAUUGACACUGAGGCACGAAAGCGUGGGGAUCAAACAGGAUUAGAUACCCUGGUAGUCCACGCCCUAAACGAUGGAUACUCGACAUCAGCGAUACACUGUUGGUGUCUGAGCGAAAGCAUUAAGUAUCCCACCUGGGAAGUACGACCGCAAGGUUGAAACUC
rnacentral:rRNA from 1 species